UAAUAUUGGUAUAACCUUGCUUGCUUUUCCGAGACGCAAACAAAUGGAUUGCCCUUCGGUCCGACGAGAUUCCUCGGCAGUCAAUUAAAUGGCUUUUCAAAGGCAGCAAAAUCCUCGGCCAGACAAAAUAUCUGUGGCAUUGUGGGUGUGGAAUGCUCUGCCAAAAUUCUAAUCGAA